rnacentral:rRNA from 1 species
UGCUACACAUGCAGUCGACGGGAUCCAUCAGGCUUUGCUUGGUGGUGAGAGUGGCGAACGGGUGAGUAAUGCGUGACCGACCUGCCCCAUACACCGGAAUAGCUCCUGGAAACGGGUGGUAAUGCCGGAUGCUCCAGUUGAUCGCAUGGUCUUCUGGGAAAGCUUUCGCGGUAUGGGAUGGGGUCGCGUCCUAUCAGCUUGACGGCGGGGUAACGGCCCACCGUGGCUUCGACGGGUAGCCGGCCUGAGAGGGCGACCGGCCACAUUGGGACUGAGAUACGGCCCAGACUCCUACGGGAGGCAGCAGUGGGGAAUAUUGCACAAUGGGCGCAAGCCUGAUGCAGCGACGCCGCGUGAGGGAUGGAGGCCUUCGGGUUGUAAACCUCUUUUAUCGGGGAGCAAGCGUGAGUGAGUUUACCCGUUGAAUAAGCACCGGCUAACUACGUGCCAGCAGCCGCGGUAAAAACUU